rnacentral:misc_RNA from 1 species
AACGCACCUUGCGCCCUCUGGUAUUCCGGAGGGCAUGCCUGUUUGAGUGUCAUUAAAUUCUCAACUUCAAUAGUUUUUAUAACUUUAUUGAAGCUUGGAUGUGGAGGUUUGCUGGCGUCUUAGAUGUUCGGCUCCUCUCAAAUGCAUUAGUGGACCCGUUUAUUGGACCAUCCUUGGUGUGAUAAUUAUCUACGCUUUGGUUAGUUCAAUGACUCUAUGUUCAAGACAUUUCGGUGUCCUGGUUUGGGUUUUGCAUUAGUUUGCUAUACCUGUUAUUAGAGUAGGGACUUCUGCUCUCUAGCCGUCUGUGUAUGCGGACAAUUACCUUGACUAUUUGACCUCAAAUCAGGUAGGACUACCCGCUGAACUUAA